CACCAGGCGCGAAAACUUUACAAUGCCGGCAACGGCGAUAAGGGAACCUCGAGUGCCGGGUUACAAAUCUGGCUGUCGUGAUGCCUAAAAAGCAUUGCAUAGCAAGGGCCGGGCAAGACCGGUGCCAGCCGCCGCGGUAACACCGGCGGCUCGAGUGGUAACCGUUAUUAUUGGGUCUAAAGGGUCUGUAGCCGGCCGGGUAAGUCUCUUGGGAAAUCUGGCAGCUUAACUGUCAGGCUUUCAGGAGAUACUGCCUGGCUCGAGGCCGGGAGAGGUGAGAGGUACUUCAGGGGUAGGGGUGAAAUCUUGUAAUCCUUGAAGGACCACCAGUGGCGAAGGCGUCUCACCAGAACGGACCUGACGGCAAGGGACGAAAGCUAGGGGCACGAACCGGAUUAGAUACCCGGGUAGUCCUAGCCGUAAACGAUACUCGCUAGGUGUCGGCCACGGUGCGACCGUGGUCGGUGCCGUAGGGAAGCCGUGAAGCGAGCCACCUGGGAAGUACGGCCGCAAGGCUGAAACUUAAAGGAAUUGGCGGGGGAGCAC
rnacentral:rRNA from 1 species